rnacentral:lncRNA from 10 species
CGCGUGUGCAUCGGGACUUAGUCCCAAACGGGGUUUUUAAACGUGGGAGAUGAGUUCUUUGCUCUGAUCAGUUACUCAGAAGGUGCCUGAAUGUGUGGGGGUGGGAGCGUGGGAGGGGGCUGCCUCCUCUUUCUCCUCCUUCCUUUUGGCUCUCCCCCUCCUUUCUUCUCCCUCCCUCCCUCUCCCCUCACCUCCCCUCUCCUCUCCCUCUAUUCCUCUCUCAUUUCCUCUUUCUUUCUCUUCUUCUCCCUCUCUCCUUCAGCAUCCCCCCACCCUCUUUUUCUCUCUCCCCCUCCCUCUCUUUCCUCCCUCUCAUCCCCUCCCUCUCUCCCCCACCCUCUCUCUUCUGUCUCUCCCUCCAAGUCUGGCACUGAACGCGAACUGUUUUGCUUUGCUCCGGGAAGAGUGCAGACACAUAACGUGAAAUCCCGAGCUUUUUGCGUGGUGCAUUUAAAAUGCUUCCUUAUUUAUAUUACCCUCAUUCCCUCACCACCCCCCACCCCCUCACCAGUCCUUCCAAAUUUCCCUAGAAAUCUAUGUAAAGCAUGCGGAGGGGAAAACAUUUGCACAAAAAGUGAAGGAGCUCGCCAAGGUGGUCAGACCUGUCCUGACACCCAGAGGUCUGCAUGAGGGAAGGCCACUGAAGGAGGAGUUCUGAAAGGCCACAGGUGAUGAAGAGCUUGGAUGAAUGAACUUAGAAGUCCCAGGUGAGUACCAAGAUGUCAGCGCAUGGUUUCUUCGCCUGAGCAGACCCAAGGGGCCUCCACACAUACUUCCCACUUGAUGAUGAGAUACAGGGAAGCCACAGAUCCAGUGCUUGGAGACUGUCCUCAAAGGCUUAGUCCUUGGCAAAGGAAGGCACCCAUCACAGAGGUUACAUGAAAGGGCACAGUACCUACCGCAUGAGGCAUAGGACUGCAUAGGACUUCCUGUCCUAUCCUCUAAACAGGACUUGGGCCUGUGUGUUUAGAAGCUUCCAAACCCCCAGUACUGAGGGGUGUAGGCCCUAUUCAAGGGGCCCACUGUUCCUUCUUCACCUCCACUUCCUGGACCAUCUCGGGCCUCUCAGGGGCCCAGGGGAUGGGCAGAGUUGAAGGGUCAUUUGCCAUGCCAAGUUUCUCUGAGGAUACCAAACGUUGUUACGUCUCCUUAACUGGAGUUCAGCCUAGGAUGCAUGGGAGAAGUUUUAGGCUCUGGAUAUUUUUUUUGAAGGGUAAGGCAUUAAAAUCUAAAUGCAUUUACUUUUCCUAUUAACCAGCAAAAUCUCUUGCUAUAAAGCUUUUGUUUAGCUGCCUUUCUGAGCUUCAAAGUCAUACUGUGAUUCUUAUUGGGGAUUUCAGUUCAGAGCUUGGCAGAGAAUUUUGAAACCCCAGGGCUGUUAGAUUUGUGAGGAAAGGAGAAACCAAGCUACCUGCCUAAUCCUUGGAGGUCAUGUGAGCCAAAUGUGGGAAGCUGCCAGAAAUUUUUAGAGGGAAACUCGAGGCUAUGGCAGAAUAGAAGCACAUUACAUGGAAGAUCUUCAGAUCAUUAUACAAUAGAUCUAUUUUCUAUAUUAAUUAAAUGUCUGCUACACGGAUUGUUGGAAAUUUUUACAUUUUAAAAGUAGAACUUAAAUAACAAGUAAAUUGACUGGAAUCGUCUAUACUUCCCAGCAUGUAAAGUGUGGAUGAGGCCAUCAAAUUGUUAAAUGAGCCUAACUUCUUUUAAGUUCCCCUUUUGAAUAUGAGGACCUGAAGUUUGCAGCAUCUGUCUUUGGGCAAUAGUUGUUAAUUCCAAGAGUUUCACGUCUUCCUUCUCCCUCCUUAACUGAUAGUUCAAUUGCACUGGGAGGAAAUCUAAGAAAAUAAUAUGAUGGGGGGUGAUUUUCUUGCCUGAAAGGUAAUCUCUUCUAAAUUACGUUUGAAAAAAUCCAUGGAUAGACUAAACCUCAAAUUUAGAUAGAAUAUGUAGCAUGCCAAAGCUGGAAAGAACUGUAGAGUAUAUUCAGAGAGAGACUAAUCUCUUCAUUUUAUAAAUCAAACAGGUUCAGAGAGGUUAAGUGAUUUUACCAAGGUCACACAGCUGGGGCUCAACCCCAGGUUGUUUAUUGUGUUCUCUGGGUAUUUUUUUUCCCACUAAGCAUUUCCUAUUACUACCAAAUCAUAUAGAUAACCCGUAAACAUAAUCCAGGACAACAGAACAGAUUCCCUUUGAAAAUGACUGGCAUUUAGAAUGCCAGGGUUCAAAAAAGAGUUUAAAGAAAGUUUCUUCUGCUUGCAAUUAGCAUUCUGGGGGCAUCAUUAGAAGGUUAGGUAUGGCUGUCAUCUCUUGUCUCUGACAUGGCCUAGACCUCAGAGCAUCCAUGUUGCCUUGGUCUGCUGAGGAAGGCAUCAGCACAAGAAAGUUGCUGUGUCAUAGAAUCCCAGUAUUGGUCUUUUUCAAAACAUUUGCUAGCAUGAAGCAGCUCCGUAAGGCAUGGGUCCCUGUCUCUUAUUUCUCUCCUCUGGGUGGCAGUUGAUUCUCAUCCUUCUUGUCUUGUGGGGUUUGACUGAGAGCUGUUAAGAAGGUAGUUUGACCCAGGAUCUCCUUUAUAAGCAAGAAGGCCCUCAUAAGGAGGUUUCAAAUGAAGUGAAGAUCUGUUUGAUCCUUGUCCCCAAGAUACUUUUUUAGAAUGCUGCAGAUCACCUGCUUGUAGGACAGCUGCUUGGCCUGGUCAGUUUUAAGCUCAUGAUUUACUGCCAAACCCUGGAUUGAACUCCACUAUUUCAGCUUUACAUAUUUCUACCAAUAUCAGCCACUUCGAGCCCAUAUUAAUCAUGUCUUCAGAACAUGAGAAUAGUAGUCAUGGUGUGUGUGCUAUCACAAAUAAAUUAUUCUGGUGGCCUUUUUCACAGUCUCUCCCUGCUGUUUGCUCCCCCUACCUCCCCGCGCUUUCUGACAACUUCUAACUAGGAAAUAAGAUUCAUUUCUCUGCUUAAAAAGCAACAGACUGGGAGGAAGAAAAAUGAGAUGGGGUGAAAGAUACAAAUAGGUUAAAAAGCAAAACAAGGCUGACAAGCAGUGGAAAGAAUUAAAAGAGCAAAUUCUAUCCAGUCCUAACUACUCACGUUUAUGAACUUAAAGAAGCAAUUUUAUCCUCUCUAGGCCUCAAUAUCUCCAUCUAUAAAAUUAGGUGCUUUGGGGGUCAGACCCCUUCCAUUCAUGCAUUAAUUCAACAAAUGUUGAAUGUUUAUUCAACAAAUGUUUAUUGAGCUUCUGUACUACGUAUCGGGUCUUAUUCUAGACAUUGGAGAUAUAAAUAAAUUAUUCUUCCUUUGAUAAUCUGUUGAAAGCUAUGGACCUUGUCCCCAGCAAAAAGGAAAAAAAAAAAAAAAAAAAAAACCAGACAUUUUAUAUACAAUUUCAGGGAGCUCAGGACAUCCCUAGGUUCCAUGGACCCCAAGUUAAAGUUUUUUUCAUCAAGUGUCUAAGGCCUACAUUUUACAAUAUGAAGGUUUGCGUUUAGGUUACAUAGUCAAAUCUUGGUUUUUAGUUGUUCUUUUUUUUCCCCCCCAGUAGUACUUUGUUGCAUUUUUAUUGUGAUUUUGGCCUUCCAUUUUUGGAGAAUAAAUAUUUGGAACUUAGUUAAUACUGCAAGUGGCUAGAAUAAAUGCUGAACAGCAGCUCGUAACUGAGAGGCAAGGCAGACGUGGAGCUGAGGACAGAAACAGAUGAGAAGUUUUGAUGACUAAUCUCAGCCUGGUCCUGCGGAAUUUCAAAGAGGUAAUCCAUCUUUUAGGCUAAGUAUUCUUGGUAAAGUCGAUGGUUCCAUGGAGGGAACGGAGGUUUAUGUUGGAGCUGGACAGUAUAAGAUCACAGUGCCAGGGCUCAUGGCAAAGAUGGAUUUCCUCUGGUGCUUUUGACUACCAGGCACAAUCAUAGCUGGACAGGUCAGGGAUUCAUUGAGAAGGAAAGACCCGUCCACUUCUGGCCCUGUUGGGUUGGUAGACUGGCUGCUUCCACGUAGUGCAGCAAGGGGCUCUAUAGCAGGCAGUUCUGUUGAGAUCUUCAGUGAAGGAGAAAUUGGGAGGCUGAAAGGCUCAAAACAGACAUAGAUAGGUCUGUGUGCAAAGGUUUCACCUUAGUUCCCACUCUUUCUGAGCAUUUUUCUUCCCUGCUUUCAGCAUCCUCAGAAUUCUUACUUGCAUUGAGGAAGACCAGAACUUUUUCAUUUAGGGCAAGGGGCAUUUACUGACUUUAGGACUGAUCAGCUACUAACACAAACUGGACUUUAGGUGGGGAGUUAGAUGCUCUUAUUCAGCACUCCCAGGUAAACAGCCAGUGGAAGUCACUGCUAGGAGAGGACCCUAGAAGUGAAGUGAUCCAUCUUUGAAAGAGCCAGAUAGGAAUCUGAACUUGUAAAAUCUUUGUGUUAGGUUGUGGGAGGACAGGAUGAAGUGUGGGAAGAAAGCAACAAGUUGCUGCUGCUGAGGCUAAAGUACAGGAAAAUCCAUCAAAAUAUAAACUUUUCAUCUUCUCAAUUUCCUCAUUUGUAAAAUGGGGAUAAUGAUAACGCCCUUCACCGUAAGGCUUUGGUGAGGAUUAAAUGAGAUUAUACAUGUGUAAAGAGCCUAGUCAGUGUUCAACAAAUGUUAGCUAUUAUUAUUAUUAUGGUGUUUUCUUUCCUGUCUGACAAACAUAGCAAUGUCAUACAAGGCUUAAAUCAUAGCAUCAGCAGCUAUAGGACCAGAGCUAUUCCUAGAGUGACAGAUAAAAGAUAAUCUUUUCUGGAAGCAUCUGUCCAUUUGCUCCAUAGCCUGCCAGUGCCCAGGAUUACCCGCUGGGAGCAAAUCAGAAGGGUUGAUAGAAAAAUCUUUUUCUCUACUUUAUGUGUCCCUACAUGAAGAUUAUCUCUUUCUUGUUUCAUUCUCCUUUUAAUUCCUUGCUUUCACGUUCCUUUUAAAAUCAAUUGAAUUUAAUUACAAUUGUUUUUGCAAAUCACUC